rnacentral:rRNA from 1 species
GAUGCUAUUCUAGAGAUAGAAGUUACUUCGGUACGAUCGGGUGACAGGUGGUGCAUUGGUUGUCGUCAGCUCGUGUCGUGAGAUGUUGGGUUAAGUCCCGCAACGAGCGCAACCCCUAUUGUUAGUUGCCAUCAUUCAGUUGGGCACUCUAGCGAGACUGCCGGUAAUAAACCGGAGGAAGGUGGGGAUGACGUCAAAUCAUCAUGCCCCUUAUGACCUGGGCUACACACGUGCUACAAUGGUUGGUACAACGAGUUGCGAGUCGGUGACGGCGAGCUAAUCUCUUAAAGCCAAUCUCAGUUCGGAUUGUAGGCUGCAACUCGCCUACAUGAAGUCGGAAUCGCUAGUAAUCGCGGAUCAGCACGCCGCGGUGAAUACGUUCCCGGGCCUU